rnacentral:sRNA from 1 species
ACCUAGCCCCGAUUGCAAUGGAAAUCCUUUUAUGAAUUUUUUAAAAAUUGAUAAAAGAUUGCAAUGGAAAGCGGGACUGCUU